AAUGCGAUAAGUAAUGUGCAUUGCAGAAUUCAGUGAAUCAUCGAAUCUUUGAACGCACAUUGCGCCCGCCAGCACUCUGGCGGGCAUGCCUGUUCGAGCGUCAUUUCAACCCUCAGAACCCCUUGCGGGAUCUGGCGUUGGGGAUUGGCAUCCAGCCAGCCCCGAAAUCUAGUGGCGGUCCCUCCGCGACCUCCCCUGUGCAGUAGCGAUACCUCGCAGCGGGACAGCGGUCUGACCACGCCGUAAAACCCCCAACUUCUCAAGGUUGACCUCGAAUCAGGUAGGAAUACCCGCUGAACUUAAGC
rnacentral:misc_RNA from 1 species